ACGCGGGGAGGCGGCCGGGUACCCAGAAAGGGGUGGAGGGGCAGCAUGGUGGUGGUCAGUGAGACCUGGAAUGGAGUUACCGGGUGACUUUGGGCAAAUGAGUUUUCUGACUGCACGACAUGUGUUAACGAGGCUACUCGUUUUCGAAUCCCCAGCUCUGCUACUUUGAACCUUGAUAGAUAACCGUCGGCAAGUAAGUUAAUUAGGCUAAUCUUAAUCUGUAAAAUGGUGAUGAUAAAAUGGUCUAGUAAAGAGUAUAUGAAACAAAGCAUGCAAAACACUUGCACAGCCCCUGCCUGGUACGUAAUAAUAACUUCAUAAAUGGAAACAGCGGUAAUUAGGGCUACAGGACUACUGUCUCUUUGUUUUGUUUUUUGCCCAGAAUGUUGUGGUAGAUUAAUUUCAGGAGGCAACACAUAGGAUUUAGGUGAGUCUAAGAUGGCGGAACAGCGGUUUCGGCGUAGGGCUGUUCUGUGACCUAGAUUGCCCCGUGGCCCUUAUCGAAGCUGCAGCUGCUUCCACAUAGCUGCUGUGGUCAAAAAGGAGCCCAGACUGACAGUUUUCCUUGACGGUCGCCGUUCAGUUUGCUGUAACCGAUCUGCAACAUUCCGGGAAAAGACAUUCCUGCCAUUUCUCAGAUAUGGUCAGAGAGCUUUAUUAAAAUUGGCAUGUUUUCCCGAUGCCAGCAGAAAUGUUGAUGAGGGCUUCCAUAUAAAGCUAGCAGAAUGAGGUUUGUGAGAGGUACCUUGCUAAGACCAAGAGCCAGUGUCAAGGAGCAGUAGGCCGAACAUCGGUAUUUGAGGAAAUCCAGUGGCAUAUGGGGUAGAUCAGAGCAAUGCUUUGGAUCACUGGUCUGAAGCUUAAGGCAGCCAGACCGAAGAUGAAGCACACAGAAGUAGUAAAAGGUCAAGUUAGAGAAGAUUUGUGCAUUGAUAGCUGAAAUGUAUAAUCAUAGGUACUUAAAAGUACUGUUAAUUGGCUCAAACCAAAUGAAGGGAACACGAAGGUCAUUCUGGACGAUUGUUCUCAUUCUAGACGUGCUGAAUGAAGAUUUCAGGAUGAUUGAAAUUGAUGGUCUUUCUGGUGAAUGAGGACUGUGAGGAACAAGGAGCCACAUGACCUGGAUGUCCUGUGUUUCCCUGGCUGUGUUAACAACUCUGAACGUACCAGCUUGUUGUUGGAGCUGUGCUUUAGAAUCAGAUCUUUGUUAUUGGUAAUGCUGUCUCCAUCUGUGAUUAAAGAUCUACAGCGUUGGGACUGAAGUGCUGCGGGAAGAAACAUACACCCAGCUUAUAUGGAAACAGCUCUGCAAGCAGAUAAUCUUUUGUUUAGUGCUGUAUCCCUGGUACCUGGCAUAGGUGACAAAUAAAAAACUACUGUAUGGAAA